ensembl:lncRNA
CCAGGCUCCUCUGUCCAUAGAAUUCUCCAGGCAAGAACACUGGAGUGGGUUGCCACUUCCUUCUCCAGGAGAGCUUCCUGACCCAGGGAUCGAACCUGGGUCUCCUAGAUUGUGGAUGGACUCUUGACCAUCCGAGGCACCAGGGAAGCCCAUACAAUGGCGUACUGCUGCUGCUGCUGAGUCGCUUCAGUCGUGUCCGACCCUGUGCGACCCCAUAGACAGCAGCCCACCAGGCUGCCCCGACCCUGGGAUUCUCCAGGCAAGAACACUGGAGUGGGUUGCCAUUGCCUUUUCCAAUGCAUGAAAGUGAAGUGAAGUCCCUCAGCGUCCGACUCUUAGUGACCCCAUGGACUGCAGCCCACCAGCCCACGGUCCAUGGCAUUUUCCAGGCAAGAGUACUGGAGUGGGUGGCCAUUGCCUUCUCCAACAAUGGAGUACUAGUGAGCCUUAAAAAAAAGAACCAAACUUUGUCCUUGAAGCAACCUGGAUGGACUCAGAGGGCAUCACGCUAAGUGAACUAGGUCAGACAGAAAGAGGCAAAUAUUGUGUGAUCUCACUUGUAUGUGGAACCUAAAAUAUACAACAGAACAGUGAAAGGAGCGAAUAAAAAGCAGGCGUAGAGCCUCCAAGAGCAAAUCAGGGCUUCCAGCGAGGAGACAGAAGGUGCAGAGCCUCCAAGAGCAAACCCGCAGCUCCAGCGAGGAGAGGGAAGGCGCGCGCUGCCCGAGGAGGAGGCACUCACCGUCCUCAGCGGCGGCGAGACGCUCUCUGGGUCGCUGCCUCCCGCCUGGCCCCACAUCCGCCGCUGGCCUCACCGUUUCUGUCUUCCGUCCGAAGGGAACCCCCUUCCAGCUCACCGCACGUCUUCCUGGCCUUUCCUCAGCUUAGCCGAGCAUUACUUUUAAACCCUCAUUCUGAUCUUUGUUUCGUGUUUACAGAAGUAGAUUCCUUUUAUUCCUUUCCCCAGACAGGCCUAAUCCCUUUGGAAUUCGAGUUUUUUAAGAGCAGCUCCUUGGCUAUGGAAAGGCAGCCCGCCACCCCGCUGCAGAGAGAGGUCCGGGGCUGGCCUGGGGUGCAGGGGAAACACGUCCCCCGACCUCCAGGCAAAGGCGCCCUGGCUCCCCCUUCCCCCAGCUUCCCUCCCAUUUCUUGGUGGGUCGGCACCAAGGGCACCCUGGAAAAAGAGGAGGGAGGGAUGGAGGUGCAGGGGGACGGAGAGGCGGCAGCAGGUGGCCCACCCUGGACCCUGAGGCCUGACCGCACCCUGCUGGGGGAGCGUCACCGAGGGAGGGGACGCAGCGCCACCGCCCCAGCCACCCAGCUGCCGGGCGUGGCUGCCAUGACAGGGAGCCACUGCUGCCCGGGGCUCUGGCAGGGCCCCACGCAGGGACCGAGGGCGGCGGAGGGGGCCUGAUGAUGCCUCUCUCUCCCUCCUGCAGCUGCGGGUCCCCAGGGGGCUCCCUGAUAAACAGCUGUUCACGAACCCUCUGAGUUCACUUCCCAGGGAGACCGAGCUGGGAAGCAGAGACCGUUGGCACAACAGGUGAACGCCCUAACACCAGAGAAGACUGCGCUACGGCUGUCCUUUCAGGGGACAGUGACGAAGUCAGUGUCACACGUGGAGUUGGAGUACACGGCAUCAACGAGGUGACCGAGGACCAGGGAGGACACAAUCCUCGCCCAGGGUGCCGCGACUCGUGGCUGUGCCACAGCUGACCCCGGAGGCUCGUUGCAGAAUCUGUGCUCCCACACCAGGCACCUCCUCCUCCCCUGCCAACAAGCUAGGUCCUCCCCCAGGGCUAGGUCCUCCUCCAGGGCUAGUCCUCCUCCUCCCCUGUCAACGGCUAGGUCCUCCUCCUCCCCUGCCAAUGGGCUAGGUCCUCCUCCGGGGCUAGGUCCUCCUCCAGGGCUAGUCCUCCUUUGGGGCUAGGUUCUCCUCCGGGGCUAGUCUUCUUCCUCCCCUGCCAACAGGCUAGGUCCUCCUCCAGGGCUAGGUCCUCCUCCAGGGCUAGUCCUCCUCCAGGGCUAGUCCUCCUCCGGGGCUAGGCCCACCUCCUCCCCUGCCAACGGGCUAGGUCCUCCUCCAGGGCUAGUCCUCCUCCGGGGCUAGUCCUCCUCCGGGGCUAGGGCAGGCGGUCUGGUCUCAGUCCCCAUCGGGGGCAGGAAGGCAACAAACAAGGGUAGGAAGAGGAGACAAAGGAAGAGCAGAGCUGGAACAGAAAUGGCAAAUCUCAAAAGAUAUUCUCUUUUUUUUUCAGUUAAAAGCAUGUCUCUUGGAGGCCCCUGGUGGGCCAGUGGUUACGAAUCCGCCUGACAAUGCAGGGGACACUGAUUUGAGCCCCAGCUCCUGAAGCCUGCGCCCCAGAGCCCGAGCUCUCGACGAGAGACGCGGAUAGGAAACGCCACAUGAGGACUCUCAAGCUCCUCAACCAGGGAUUGAAACUGCGCCCCUGCAGCAGAAGCUCGGAGUCUUCGUCCCUGUACGGCCAGGGAAGCCCCCUCAUCACUGGAUUGAAGGCCCAUGCGAGGAACCCAGGGUCGUGGUCUGUGUGUGGGCUGGAAAAGGCUUUCCAGACAUGAGGCAGAAUGACAGGAGAAUAGAGUUUAUCAGAGCAGGAGACACUGUUAGAAGAGUGGGCAGCCUCAAGUGAGAGUCAGCACUUUGGGGGGUUGGAGCCAAUUCCUUUUAUAACCGCAAGACAAAGAAAACUGCUGAAGGAAGGCAUUAGGCGAUGGGA